rnacentral:rRNA from 1 species
UAGGAACCGUCCAAACGUUACUCGGAAUCAAUGGGCUUAAAGGGGGCGUAGGCCGCGCGGAGGGUGGGAUGUGAAAUCCCCCGGCACAACCGGGGAAUAGCGUCCCAAACCGCCGUGCUCGAGGGAGACAGAGGUGAGCGGAACUGAUGGUGGAGCGGUGAAAUGCGUUGAUAUCAUCAGGAACACCAGUGGCGAAAGCGGCUCACUGGGUCUUUCCUAACGCUGAGGCACGAAAGCUAGGGGAGUGAACGGG